UACAGAGGGUGCGAACGUUGCUCGGAAUUACUGAGCGUAAAGCGCGUGUAGACGGAACGAUAAGUCGGAAAUGAAAUCCCCGGGCUCAACCCGGGAACUGCUUUCGAAACUGCCGUUCUCGAGUACCGGAGAGGGUGGCGGAAUUCCUGGUGUAGAGGUGAAAUUCGUAGAUAUCAGAAGGAACACCGGUGGCGAAGGCGGCCACCUGGACGGUCACUAACGCUAAAACGCGAAAGCGUAGGGAGCAAAC
rnacentral:rRNA from 1 species